UUUAACAAUAUAAUCAUUACAAAUCAAUUAAAAUCAAAACUCGACUCGAUUCAACUCAAAAAUCAAACACAUUCUUAAGCGUCUCGAGGGCGAGCUUCUGUUCAAGGAGUUCCCUUCCAUUUCGUGUCCCGACUUCUCUUCAGCUACAGAGAAGAUGGAGAGCCUCCGCUCAAUCAUUUCCGGCGUUUGGUCUGGAAAUAGCACCUCACAGCGAGAAGCAACUAAACAGUUUCAAGAAUGCUUCCUGACCAGUACUUUCGAUGCGGCUUUGUUUUCAGUUGUUAAACUACUGCAUACAUUGCGUCACUGUGUAGCAUGAUAGCUCUUAUGUCUUUUGGCGCCACAGAUGAAGAUCUAAUGAACUGCUGAGACAACAUUACUGUUGACUGUGGUUAUUGUUGUCUGGGACUUUUGUUUCUUUUCUUCAGAAGGUGUUACUGUUGUUAGCUUAUUGCUGUUUAUGGUCAUUUCAAUUGCAAUAUUGGACUUUCAGAAGGAAGCCCGUCGAUUGAGGAGGUCAUUAAAGUUGCAACUGUUUGGCGUUUCUCGGAGUUUUUGCAGAAGGAAGACUCCCCAGAUCUUCAGGUUGAAGCUGCUUGGGCUCUCACCAGCUUUAUAUCUAAUACAUUAGAGAGUGCCACGAACAUGCUCCCUCUCGAGGCAGUGCAUGCCUCUGUCAAGCUUCUAGGAUCACCUAAUGAUGAUGUUCGAGAGCAGG